rnacentral:lncRNA from 1 species
CUCGCCGGUGGGUGCUGGGCGAGUUCCCAGCACCCAUGCGUCGUCCUAUGGACGACGCAUUAAAUUUCCAGAACCGGCGAGGUCGAUUCGACCUCGCCGGUGGGUGCUGGGCGAGUUCCCAGCACCCAUGCGUCGUUAAAUUUCCAGAACCUGCGAGGUCGAAUCGACCUCGCCGGUGGGUGCUGGGCGAGUUCCCAGCACCCAUGCGUCGUCCUAUGGACGACGCAUUAAAUUUCCAGAACCGGCGAGGUCGAAUCGACCUCGCCGGUGGGUGCUGGGCGA